GGAACAUGUGGUUUAAUUCGAUGAUACGCGAGGAACCUUACCCGGGCUUGAAUUGCAGGUGCAUGGACCAGAGAUGGUCCUUUCCUUCGGGACUCCUGUGAAGGUGCUGCAUGGUUGUCGUCAGCUCGUGCCGUGAGGUGUCGGCUUAAGUGCCAUAACGAGCGCAACCCUUAUCCUCAGUAGCCAGCAGUAAGAUGGGCACUCUGUGGAGACUGCCAGGGAUAACCUGGAGGAAGGUGGGGAUGACGUCAAAUCAUCAUGCCCCUUAUGAUUUGGGCUACACACGUGCUACAAUGGCGUAAACAAAGGGAAGCGAAAGGGUGACCUGGAGCAAAUCUCAGAAAUAACGUC
rnacentral:rRNA from 1 species